rnacentral:rRNA from 1 species
UACGGAGGGGGGCGAGCGUUAUUCGGAAUUAUUGGGCGUAAAGGGCGCGUAGGCGGCUGUACAAGUCAAAAGGUGAAAAUCCCCUCGGCUCAACUGAGGAACUGCCUUUGAAAACUGUACGGCUUGAGGCCGGGAGGGGUAGCGGAAUUCCCAGUGUAGCGGUGAAGUGCGUAGAUACUGGGAGGAACACCAGUGGCGAAGGCGGCUACCUGGACCGGUUCUGACGCUGAGGCGCGAAAAGCGUGGGGAGCAAACAGG